UGGAGGUGAUGAGAAGGCCUGAGCCCCUGACCCCCCGUGGCCGUGGAGGCAAAGACUGAUUUAAUGAGCCUGAUCC